ensembl:lncRNA
GAUUAGGUCACGCCUGACUGUUAUUGAAUGCCACAACUGGGGCAACCUUACUGGGAUCGUGCCAUUGAAAUGGUCGUGGCAGGGCAGGCAACCAGGCAUGUUGCCUGCCCUGCAACAUGUAGAGUCGCUUGAGUGACAGAGCUUCUCCUCCACAGAUUCAGCAGCAACUCCAGGCAGCAGUGAUUGAAGAGUGGGAGCCACCCCACUGGAUGACAUCCGGAAGUUAAGCCUGUCCAUGGGGCAUAUUAGUGCAAUGAUCAAUGCAGAUGAGGGGCACACUAAUUAAUGAUUGUGUGUGUGUGUGUGUGUGUGUGUGUGUGUGUGUGUGUGUGUGUGUGUGUGUGUGUGUGUGUGUGUGUGUGUGUGUGUGUGUUUUACUGUAACCUGCAACAUACAGUGCAUAUGUUAAUUGGGAUUUUUUUUUUUUUUUUUGGCUCUUUUUCCUUAUAAAAAGGUAAUGAUAGUCUCUCCUUGUCUUCUGCCAGAAUGCCUGUAUUUACUGCCUGUCUGUCAUGUGUUGUGCUGCUCAGGAAGACUUUUUGACUCAGCUGUGCUGCCUUAAGAUUCCUACAUUUGAGCCCUGGAUCUGACACACAAACACACAUGCAGAUGUAAAAGGAAGCUACAAGCCAAUAUUUUCAUCCAGCUUGAAGAUGCCAUCUGAACUCCACCAGAGGGAGACAGAGCAACGCUGAAAAUGUCCCAGAUGGUCCGGUAGGCAUCAACAAGUCUUCUGAAGAAACUGACUGGAUAAUUUCUCAUAACUCGAAUGGAAAUAUGAGCAGCAUAGUGGAGAGAAUUCACACUUAUAGUGAAAUUGUUUCAGAAAUAUUGACCUUUUCACUUCAGGCAGAUUUCUUUCUAAGGAGAAAACCUUUUUUGUCUUUUUUGACAGAGAAAGACAAAUUUAUAGGUUUUGACCACAUUUAACAGCCUCAGUGAAGGGAACACAUUUCAUGAGUCAUCGGGUGAUGAUCAUGAUUUGCAGAAAGGUUAAAAAAAAACAAAACAAAAAAGUUAACUAUGACUUAUAUAACACAGACAGCAAAGAAAGCACAAUUAACUGUGAUGAUUGUAUGACUUUUUUCAUUAAACUGACUGUAAACUUUGCAUUUACAUGUUUUCACUAAUACUGCCAGAACAUCCACAUUUUCAGCAGCUGAACGCUGGAAAGACUGAAAUUAAC